rnacentral:rRNA from 1 species
GAUGAACGCUAGCUACAGGCUUAACACAUGCAAGUCGAGGGGCAGCACAGUGUAGCAAUACACGGGUGGCGACCGGCGCACGGGUGCGUAACACGUAUCCAAUCUGCCCGUUACUCGGGGAUAGCCUUCUGAAAGGAAGAUUAAUACCCGAUGGCAUUCAUUUGCGGCAUCGCUUAUGAAUUAAAGAUUUAUCGGUAACGGAUGAGGAUGCGUACGAUUAGCUGGUUGGCGGGGUAACGGCCCACCAAGGCUACGAUCGUUAGGGGUUCUGAGAGGAAGGUCCCCCAGACUGGCACUGAGACACGGUCCAGACACCUACGGGAGGCAGCAGUGAGGAAUAUUGGUCAAUGGUCGAGAGACUGAACCAGCCAAGUAGCGUGAAGGAUGACUGCCCUAUGGGUUGUAAACUUCCUUUGUUUGGGAAUAAAGUCAGGUACGUGUACCUGUUUGUAUGUACCAUUCGAAUAAGCAUCGGCUAAUUCCGUGCCAGCAGCCGCCGUAACAC